CCUACGGGUGGCUGCAGUGGGGAAUAUUGCACAAUGGGCGAAAGCCUGAUGCAGCCAUGCCGCGUGUAUGAAGAAGGCCUUCGGGUUGUAAAGUACUUUCAGUUGUGAGGAAGGGUGUGCAGUUAAUAGCUGCGCAUCUUGACGUUAGCAACAGAAGAAGCACCGGCUAACUCCGUGCCAGCAGCCGCGGUAAUACGGAGGGUGCGAGCGUUAAUCGGAAUUACUGGGCGUAAAGCGCAUGCAGGUGGUUCAUUAAGUCAGAUGUGAAAGCCCGGGGCUCAACCUCGGAACUGCAUUUGAAACUGGUGAACUAGAGUACUGUAGAGGGGGGUAGAAUUUCAGGUGUAGCGGUGAAAUGCGUAGAGAUCUGAAGGAAUACCAGUGGCGAAGGCGGCCCCCUGGACAGAUACUGACACUCAGAUGCGAAAGCGUGGGGAGCA
rnacentral:rRNA from 1 species